UACAGAGGGUGCGAGCGUUAAUCGGAAUUACUGGGCGUAAAGCGUGCGUAGACGGUUGCGUAAGUCGGAUGUGAAAUCCCCGGGCUCAACCUGGGAAUGGCAGUGGAAACUAGGGGACUUGAAUCUGGCAGAGGGGGGUGGAAUUCCACGUGUAGCAGUGAAAUGCGUAGAGAUGUGGAGGAACACCGAUGGCGAAGGCAGCCCCCUGGGCUGAGAUUGACGCUCAGGCACGAAAGCGUGGGGAGCAAACAG
rnacentral:rRNA from 1 species